rnacentral:ncRNA from 1 species
GACAAAGCGUUGACGAGGAGAAGUAGGAGACAUCGGCAUUCCAGAGAGAACCGCCUUGGCUGGGAGCGGUUUAUGCCCGGUGUUGUCUGAAAUGCGCCUCGGAGUCUCCUUUCGAACCGGAACAGAGACGUUCUGCAGUAGAGGGGAGCGGAGUAUCUCCGUUAUCAGACUCAAAGUGAGCGAAACAGCGCAUCCGUUUCGCUAAACAGAGUGGAACCGCGCCAAAAGCGUCUCUGUG